CAGCAGCCACGGUAAUACGUAGGUGGCAAGCAUUGUCCGGAAUUAUUGGGCGUAAAGGGCUCGCAGGCGGUUUCUUAAGUCUGAUGUGAAAGCCCCCGGCUCAACCGGGGAGGGUCAUUGGAAACUGGGAAACUUGAGUGCAGAAGAGGAGGGUGGAAUUCCACGUGUAGCGGUGAAAUGCGUAGGGAUGUGGAGGAACACCAGUGGCGAAGGCGACUCUCUGGUCUGUAACUGACGCUGAGGAGCGAAAGCGUGGGGAGCGAACAGGAUUAGAUACCCCCGUAGUCCCUGUCUCUUAUAC
rnacentral:rRNA from 1 species